rnacentral:rRNA from 1 species
AAUCCAGUUGAUCCUGCUGGAGGCUGCGGCUCUCUGGUUUGCGCUAAGACAUGCAAGUCUCUCGCAAGAGGGCAAACUGCUCAGUAACACGUCGGUAACCUGCCCUUAGGUUAUGGAUAAGCACGGGAAACUGUGUCUAAUACAUAAUAAGAGACUUACCCUGGAACGAUUUGUCUCACAAAUUUGCGCCUAAGGAUGGGCCGGCGGCGGAUUAGGUUGUUGGCGGGGUAAUAGCCCACCAAGCCGAAGAUCCGUAAGGGCUCUUAGCGGAGAGGCCCUGAGAGGGAAUCUGAGACACUAUUCCCAGCCCUACGGGGUGCAGCAGUUAGGAAUCAUUUGCAAUGCGCGAAAGCGUGACAGUUUGAGCCAGAGUGCUUCUCACUUGAGAAGCUUUUGCCAAAUGUAAAAAGUUUGGCGAAUAAGGACUGGGUAAGACGAGUGCCAGCCGCCGCGGUAAUACUCGCGGUCCAAGUCGCAGCCAUCAUUAUUGGGUCUAAAACAUCCGUAGCUUGCCAGGAAAGUUCCUUGUGAAAUCCGGCAUCUCAAGUGUCGGGCGUGCAAGGAGUACUGCCGGGCUAGAGACUGGAAGACGUAAGAAGUACGUUCUAAGUAAUGGUAAAAUAUGUUAAUCUAGGACGGACUCACAACAGCGAAGGCAUCUUACGAGGACAGUUCUGACAGUAAGGGAUGAAGGCUAGGGGCGCAAAACGGAUUAGAUACCCGUGUAGUCCUAGCAGUAAACACUGCACACUAAACAUUAGUACCUCCUCGAGAGGUAUUGGUGCUGAAGGGAAGCCGAAGAGUGUGCUACCUGGGAAGUAUAGUCGCAAGGCCGAAACUUAAAGGAAUUGGCGGGGAGAUACUACAAUGGGUGACGCGUGCGGUUCAAUUAGAUUCCACACCGUGAACCUCACCAGGAGCGACAGCAGAAUGAAGGUCAGUCUAAAGGGCUUACCUGACACGCUGAGAGGAGUUGCAUGGCCGACGUCAGCCUGUGCCGUGAGGUGACUUGUUAAAUCAAGUAACAGGCAAGACCCGCGUGUAUAUUUACAAGAGCUAUAUACAGAUUGCCAUGGUAACAUGGAUGAAAGUGCGGGCUACGUUAGGUGAGUACAGCCCGAAUCCCCUGGGCAACACGCGCGCGUCAAUGGCAGAUACAAUUGGAUGCAACUCCGAAAGGAGAAGCUAAUCCCUUAAAAUCUGUCUCAGUCCAGAUCGAGGUUUGCAAUUCAGCCUCGUGACGCUGGAAUCCAUAGUAAUCGGAUUUUAUCAGAGUCCGGUGAAUACGUCAAUGUCUCUUGCACACACUGCCCGUCAAACCAACCGAGUUUAGUUAUGGUGAAACCCUUCGGGGGAGAACCUUGACUAGACAAGGUCGGGUAAGUCGUCACAAGGUAUCUGUAGGGGAACCUGCAGAUGGAUCACCUCCU